rnacentral:lncRNA from 1 species
GAGCAGCUGCGCCACCGGCUCAGCCUCGCGGCGGGGGAAACCCGAGCUCCCAACAAAACGGUUCCAUCUUUGGCUAGGCCUUUGGUAUUUCAAGGCGCUGCCGGUGGGGAGAGAUGCCGCGUGCCUGAGAGGCUCUGGGAGAUGUUAUGUGGUCAACAGGGACUGAGGCUCUUUAAGCCCUUAAAUCUCUAAGGGCUAAAUCUCCUUCCUGAUAUUCGCCCCCAAACCGGCACCAAAGAAGGCCCAGAGAGGUUUAACAACUUCCUCAGAAUCACACAGCUUCCAAAUGGUUGGGUUGGGUUUACAUUUAGGCGGUCUUGCUCCAGAGCCAGUGCUCCUAACCUUUGCAAGCCACGAACCUCAAGAAAGUGGAGAAGGAAACGCUGGGAAAUCUGGAAGUCAGACAUGAGAGCUAAUGCUGGCAGCUGUUGGGAUGUCCUCUUCCAGGAAUGGUGAUGAGUUUCCCUGGA